rnacentral:rRNA from 1 species
GACAGAGGUGCCGAGCGUUAGGCGGAAUCACUGGGCUUAAAGCGUGUGUAGGCGGGUCGUUAAGUGUCUUGUGAAAUCCCACCGCUCAACGGUGGAACUGCUGGGCAUACUGGCGAUCUUGAGCCACCUAGGGGCAGACGGAACAAGCGGUGGAGCGGUGAAAUGCGUGGAUAUCAGGAAGAACACCCGUGGCGAAAGCGGCUCUCUGGAACGGUACUGACGCUGAGACGCGAAAGCGUGGGGAGCGAACAGG